GACGAACGCUGGCGGCGUGCUUAACACAUGCAAGUCGAGCGGUAAGGCCCUUUCGGGGGUACACGAGCGGCGAACGGGUGAGUAACACGUGGGUGACCUGCCCUCAGCUCUGGGAUAAGCCUGGGAAACCGGGUCUAAUACCGGAUAUGACUCCAUGACGCAUGUUGUGGGGUGGAAAGCCUUGUGCGGCUGAGGAUGGGCCCGCGGCCUAUCAGCUUGUUGGUGGGGUGAUGGCCUACCAAGGCGACGACGGGUAGCCGGCCUGAGAGGGCGACCGGCCACACUGGGACUGAGACACGGCCCAGACUCCUACGGGAGGCAGCAGUGGGGAAUUUUGGACAAUGGGGGCAACCCUGAUCCAGCCAUGCCGCGUGAGUGAAGAAGGCC
rnacentral:rRNA from 1 species